UACGAAGGGGGCUAGCGUUGCUCGGAAUCACUGGGCGUAAAGGGUGCGUAGGCGGGUCUUUAAGUCAGGGGUGAAAUCCUGGAGCUCAACUCCAGAACUGCCUUUGAUACUGAAGAUCUUGAGUUCGGGAGAGGUGAGUGGAAACUGCGAGUGUAGAGGUGAAAUUCGUAGAUAUUCGCAAGAACACCAGUGGCGAAGGCGGCUCACUGGCCCGAUACUGACGCUGAUGCACGAAAGCGUGGGGGAGCAAACAGG
rnacentral:rRNA from 1 species